rnacentral:tRNA from 1 species
CUUAAUGGUAAAGUGCAUUUUUGAUAAGAAUGAAAUUUAAGUUCAACUCUUAAAAGAAUUAAGGUAGCAAGCUAUAGAGAAUUGGCUGAGUGGUUUAAGGCGGUAAGUUUGAGUUUUAUUAGGUUAUCUACACUGCAUCCGUUCAAAUCGGAUAUUCUCUGUUAUUCUUAAAGAGUAUAAUUUAAUUGGCAAAAUAGGAAGCUUCAACCUUCAACUUCUUGGUUCAAAUCCAAGUACUCUUGUUAAAAAUUAGUAAACAUAAAAAAACGGAUUAUGGCUGAGUGGUAAAGCGCUUUCUUUGGGAGAAAGAUGUCCUAAGUUCGAAUCUUAGUAAACCGAAAUAAAAUAUGUUUAGAAGCAUAUGUAAUAAUUUGUAAGAUAUAUAUAUAUACAAAUAUAUAUAAAUAAGUAUACAAAGAAAUUAUUAUGGAAUUUUCGCUGUGUAUUAAAGAGAAAGUUUUUAUUAAAGUUAUUAAUAAAAAGGAUAACAAUAUGAACUCUAAGAGAAAUUGAAUAAUAAACGAAGUGAAUUGAAAUAUCUUAGUAACUUCAGGAAAAGAAAUCAAAAGAGAUUCCAUGAAUAGUGUGAACGAAAGUGGAAAAGUCUAUAAAGUAAAAUGGUUUUUAAACAGUUUGAACUAUAUGGGGAACCUUCCUCAAAGACUAAAUAUAAUACAUAAGCUAUAGAAUAGAGUACCGUGAGGGAACAAAUUGAAAUAGUAAUUUUAUAAGCAGUUUGAAAAAAAAAACGUACCUUUUGCAUAAUGGGUCACCAAGUUAACAUUAGAUGCGAGAAAAUACGUAGUUAAACCGAGCGUUAAAAUAACGGUAUAGUAUCUAAAGUUAGACCCGAAGCCUGGUGAUUUUACCACAAUCAGGAUUAUAAAAGUCCGAACGGAAUAUUGUAGCAAAAAUAUCCGAAGAAUUGUGGUAGGUAUAGUGAAAGACAAUACUGACCAGGAUAGCUGGUUUUCUGCGAAACCUAUAACAGUAGGCAAUUUAAUUAAACAUCUUAGCAGGUACAGAAUUUAAUCUCAGACAAGACAAAAACAUUUGUUUUAUAUUGUACAAAUUGGGGGAUCGUGAAGAUUUUAUCAGUGAGUAUGUAGACUCGGAAUGGCAAAGAUGUAUGUUAAAUUAUCAGACAUAGAAUGAUAAGGUUGUAUGUCAAAAGGGAAACAGCCCAGAACAAGAGUUAAGGUUCCAAAAUUAUUAGUUAAGUGAAAUUAAGAAAGUUUUUAUUAAAGUCGACAAGGAGAUAGGCUUAGAAGCAGCCACAAUUUUAUGACCUCGUAACAGAGCGCUUGUUAAGUUAUAAAAGCAUCGAAAAUUUAACGGAUCUAAACAAUAUACCGAAACUUUGUCCAUAUAAAUUCAAAAAAUAUUUGAAUUAUAUGGGGUAGCAGAACGUUGAAUUAUGUUAAGACUUUUAUUUUUUAAAUAAAAGUAACUAUUUUUAUAUAAUAAAUUCUUGUACAAUAUUAUUUACUUGUAUUUAAUCUAUUAACAAGAAUUCUGUUUAUAAAAAUGAAUAGUCAAAUUCAAGUGAGAAUGGUGACAUGAGUAACUAAAAGAAAAAUUUAAUUUUUCCGCCUAAAGCUUAUGGAUGACAUUAAGUAACGGCCUCUAAGUUUAUAAUUAUCUAAAGGUUUAAACGAUGAGAAAUCUUGAUUACUAAGGACGACAUUUUGGUGAAAAAUGUACUGGAAAAAUAGUAAUAUUUUUAUCUAUUGAUAAAGAUAAUAACCGUACCUAGAUUCUGAAACAAGUAAGCUAGUAGAGAAUACGAAGGCGUAAAUGAGCUAACAAUCAUAAAGGAACUCGGCAAAUUAACUACCGUAACUUCGGAAUAAGGAGGGCUCAUUAUUCUUGAUUAAUAUCAAGUAAAAAGGAAGAAGCAUGAAAUAGUGUUGUACGACUGUUUAAUUAAAACACAGCACUUUGCUGAAAGAUUAAAAAUCUAAGUAUAAAGUGUGAGAUCUGCCCAGUGCCGGCUGGUUAACAGAGACAACUAGGUAUACUAUUAUCUAAUGUCGACGGAAACCCCGGUUAAAGGCGGCCUUAACGUGAGGGUCCUAAGGUAGCUAAAUGCCUUGGCCGUUAAAUGCGGUCUUGCAUGAAUGGUGUAACGAUACAACAGCUGUCUCUAUGAUUGACUCAGUGAAAUUGGAAUAGCUGUGCAGAUACAGCUUACCUCUAGUUAGACGAGAAGACCCUAUGCAGCUUUACUGUCACUAAUUAUAGAUUAUGUUAAGGAAUUUUCAGAUUAUAAGGUAAUCGAUAUUAGAUUAAAAUGAGAAACCUUUAUUUUCAUUUCAUUUGAAUGAAUGAAUUUAAGAUUAUAAUGUCUAGAAAACACAAAAAUCAAUUUGUGAGGUCAGGUAUUAUAAUAAUAAAUUAACCUAAUUCAGCUUAUUUUUUUUAUAAUAUAAAUAAAUAAGUUCCCUUUGGUGAGGAAAUAUCGUUAGGAGACAGUUUAUGUGGGGCACAGACCCUGUAAAGAGUAAACAGGAGUGUCUAAAAUUUUUUUAUAUUUAGUUUGUCAUUUUUAAUAGUUAUUUAUUAUAAUUAUUAUUGAUCAUAUUUAUUUAAAUAUAUUUAUAAAUUCUUAUAGAUAUGUUUAAAAUAAGGUAGGAUUUUUACUACAUAGAAAGUAGAGAUAUUAAAAAUUUUACGGAGAUUUUUCUAAAAUUUUUUAGAUUAUUAUUCAAUAAUCCAUGUUAAUAUCUAAAAAGCUCAACGGCUAAAUCCUGCCUUACUGUUUGAUUAUCUACAAAUCUUACAGUUGCGUAAGCAGGGCAUAGGAUCACAAGAUACAAUAAGGAAAGAUCUUGGAUUUUUGGAAAAGCUACGCUAGGGAUGUUUGUCCUAUAAUAUUUAAUAUAUUAUAAAGUGAAAUAACUUUAUAAUUAGUUAAAUAAUUAAUAUAAAUUGGGUAGAUUUCAAGAAUUACUUUUUAGUAAACUUGAAGCGAAUUUUAUUUUAACAUAUAAUAAAAUAAAAACGUUCAACGACUAUAGGGUGAGUUUUUAUGACAGAUUUAAAGCGGAAGCUCAUAAAUUAAACAAUAAUCCCUUUAACUAUCCAACAUUUACAACUUUAUAAUUUAAAUUA